ncrna:unclassified sequences Glutamine-II riboswitch (downstream peptide RNA)
AGACGUUCAGCUCUAUUCGAGUCGCAGUUAGAUUCAAGCCAUGGAACGGGGACUUGAA